rnacentral:hammerhead_ribozyme from 1 species
AUCCAGCCGAGUCCCAAAUAGGACGAAACGCGCGUCAAACUGGAU